AUUGAACGCUGGCGGCAGGCCUAACACAUGCAAGUCGAGCGGAUGAAGGGAGCUUGCUCCUGGAUUCAGCGGCGGACGGGUGAGUAAUGCCUAGGAAUCUGCCUGGUAGUGGGGGAUAACGUCCGGAAACGGGCGCUAAUACCGCAUACGUCCUGAGGGAGAAAGUGAGGGAUCUUCGGACCUCACGCUAUCAGAUGAGCCUAGGUCGGAUUAGCUAGUUGGUGGGGUAAAGGCCUACCAAGGCGACGAUCCGUAACUGGUCUGAGAGGAUGAUCAGUCACACUGGAGCUGAGACACGGUCCAGACUCCUACGGGAGGCAGCAGUGGGGAAUAUUGGACGAUGGGCGAAAGCCUGAUCCAGCCAUGCCGCGUGUGUGAAGAAGGUCUUCGGAUUGUAAAGCACUUUAAGUUGGGAGGAAGGGCAGUAAGUUAAUACCUUGCUGUUUUGACGUUACCAACAGAAUAAGCACCGGCUAACUUCGUG
rnacentral:rRNA from 1 species